AUGCUGAACUUGUGGCACUGCCAGAUCCUUAACCCACUGACUGAGGCCAGGGAUCGAACCUGCAUCCUCAUGGAUCCCAGUCACGUUCCUAACCCACUGAGCCACAAUGGAAACUCCUCAUUUACCAGUUUUAAAAGGUGCCAGUUACCUUUUUCUUUCUUGUUUUCUUUUUUAUAAACUCCUCUUUUUAUAUCAGUUUUUUGGAGUUGACAACACGAUCACUAAUUCACGCAGCCAUUCAGGGGCUGGUCCUUGAGCCAUCGCCCAGUGCCAGGAGCUGGGCUAGCAGUGGCAGUAUGGCAGGCAGCAGGAAGAUCACUUUCCAGCCCUAAGACCUGGACCCGUUACCACUGUCACACAGGCCAUGAAGGAAAAGGAGUGCUUAAUAGAGGACUUCGCCUUGCCUGGGGGGCGGGGGCAGUUUCUGGGAGGAGUGAUAUUUAUUUAAUUUUUAUUUUAUUUUAUUUGUUUAUUUUUUUAUUACCUAAUGAAUUUAUCACAUCUGUAGUUGUGUAAUGAUCAUCACAAUCCAAUUUCGGGGAGGAGUGAUGUUUAAAUUGUUCUUCAAGUGGGACUCAGCCCGGAGCAGACGUGGGAGGCAAAGAGCAAAGAGCAGCACCGAGACAGGUCCUGAGACCUGAAGACUGACCUGGGCCGCCGAGAUGAACCGGGACAGUGGCCAGAGCUGGACUUUGUGGAGGGCAGGACCUGCAUUAAGAGGUGCUGUGCUGAGCCCUGGGCGUGGCUUCUCCUGCUGCAGCCUCACAACCACCCUAGGAGGUUUUCAGAGGCAACAAAGAAGCAGAAAGAUCUUCGGACUAUAUGAUAGAUGGUACAACACCAGCUGCUACCCACCCACCUAAGUGUGCCCGGCUGUGCUGGGUGGGCCCUUUCUGUGCAUCAGCUACUCAAACUUGAACGUGAUCCCAGCCACCUGGAGACUUGUUAAAACACAGAGCUCCUGAUUCAGUAAAUUCAUUCUUAGCUGCGUAACGGAAUACCACAGAAUGAGGGGCUUAGCAACACCCGCUUAUUAGCUGACAGGUCAGUAGUCAGAAGUCUGGGUGCGGCACGGCUGGCUUCUCUGCUCCAGGUUGUGUAAGGAUGGAAUCAAGUCCUAGGCUGGGCUCCUUCCUUUCUGGCGGCUGGGCAAGAGUCUGCAUCUGCCAACACGCAGAGCCCCGUUUUCUGUCAUCCCUCCUGAAGGCCACUUACAGCCUUGCCACUUGUCCCCUCCUCCUUCCAGCCAGCCACCAGGCAUCUCUCUCAUGUCAACCCUGAUUUCAGAAAAAGCCUGGUCUCUUUCAAGGGCUCAGUCCGGUUGAUCUCCCUUGCACAAACUGGGCGGUGUAACAGAACCUAGUCAUGGGUAAAAUUCGUCAUGGCCGUCAUCCUGGGGAUUAUUCCCGGCAUGCCUCCCACCCCCGUCUCCCCCUCCCCGCUAGGAAAGGGAAUUGUGGGCCGUUCUAGAACUCUGCCGGCUACAGUAGGUGGGGCGAACAUUUGCGCUUGUAACAAAUUCCCAGCUAAAGAGAUGCUGCUGCUCUGGAAAUGGCAUUGCCAGAGAACGACUUACCUGUGUUGGCUCCUUGCACCGCCUUCGGCUUAGAUUGUGCCUAAUUUACAAAUAGGACACUGAGUGUUUUAAGUCUAGAGGUAACGUUCAAAGUUUAUAGCAACUAGUAUCUCGUGGGCCCAACCAAUCAGAAGCAACGUCAAGGUGAUCGGGAGGGGUUCUGGCCGUGUGUAACCGCUGUGCCCUUGCUGGUCCGCACCUGCUGCCCAAGGAGCCCCUGCAAGAGGGGGUUGGAGCCAGCACCCAGACCAGAGCUGGGACUUGGCUGCUCCAUAAGCUAAGAUGAAUGAGAAAAUGCCCCACCAAGGCUAAGUCAGGAGAAGAGGAAUAAAGAGACGGUUUACUGAUUCCCAAACCCAUCUUCUUCCUUGCGUUCUCUCUGCUCCAUGCACUAUAAAGCCACCUUCCUCAAGGUUAAAAUCUGAUUAGUUUCCUACUGCUGCUCUAACAAAUUACCACAGAUUUAGUGCCUGAAACCACACAGAUCUUAUUGUCUCACAGUGCUGGAUGCCAGACUCUCAAAUCCACCUCAGGGGCCUAUCAUCAAAUAUCUGUUUCCUGGAGUUCCUGUUGUAGCUCAGUGGGUUAAGAAGCCGGCUAGUAUCCAUGAGGAUGCAGGUUCUGUCCCUGGCCGCACUCCGUGGGUUGC